AUUUAACUAAUAUAUAUGAAGCAAAAUUUGGCAUGUCAUUUUGGCACGUUUUAACCGCUUUGUUUUUUACUGGUUUUACAUAGUUUAAAUUCAGAGGAAAGAAAUUCCAGAGCUUAAGAAAUUGAUGCCCAUGGCUGUACCUGAAAAACAACAACAAUCUGGGUGUAGUGGCCCAUGACUGUGAUUCCAGUGACUAGGGAUGCUGAGGCAGGAGAGUUGCAAGUUAAGGCCAGCCUUAGCAACUUAGGGCACAUCCUGUCUCUGAAUAAAAAAUAAAAAGCUAGAAUGUAGCACAAUUGCACAGUACCAAAACAAAACAAAACAAAAAAAUCACUAGAACAACUUAAUGUGUUUUUAAUUUUUUUUUUAAGUUAUGCAUGGGCACAAUAUCUUUAUUUUUGUUUGUUUAUUUUUAUGUGGUGCUGAGGAUUGAACUCAGGGUCUCACACGUGGGAGGCAAGUGCUCUACCACUGAGCUACAACCCCAGCCCAACGGUGUUUCUUUUUUAUGUUUGCAUAAUCUGGUACCUGAUCAUUCUCUUCCACCUUCAUCUCUCUUCUUGUAUUGUUAUUUAGGAAACUUUUAACUCAAAACAAUAUUGGAUGGACAUUUACUCUUAUAUUGUAACCACUCUUAUUGGCUCUAUUUGCCUUAUUUUUAUUCCAAAUAUGGAAGUAUGUAAGUCAUGAACAUGUUUAUAGAAUUUAGCCUAGAAGUGUCCCUUCUCUUUCCAAAUCAACUACUCUGAGGUAGUCAUCAAUGAGAAUUUCUUGAUGUUUGUUCCUUCUCUCAGUCCAGAGUUCUAUGAGACCUGAUUCCCCCUGCAUCCCAUUUUCUGAUCACCAUAGAGUAAAAUAAAGCUAUAAGCCUACCUUUAAGUUUGUGCUUGACAUUAAAUAGUAUGUAUUACUGUGGCUUUAAAAUGUAAGUGUAUUUGUCUGUAUGUUUUUGUAUGUUGUUGUGGUUGAACCCAGGGCCUUGCACAUGCUAGGCAAGUGCUCCACCACUGUGCUACAUCCCUAGCCUGAGAAAUAUUAGUUGUAUGGCUGUGUUGCCAGAUUUGAGGGUUUGUAUCUGUCCAAGAGAAAAUGCAUAAUUGUUACAUAUUUUCAGUUAGGCUCAUAUCAGCAUCAGCACUGUGUUAGAAACCACUAGUCCUU
rnacentral:lncRNA from 1 species